rnacentral:rRNA from 1 species
CAAUAGCGUAUAUUAAAGUUGUUGCGGUUAAAAAGCUCGUAGUUGGAUUUCUGCUGAGAACGACCGGUCCGCCCUCUGGGUGUGUAUCUGGCUCUUUCUUGGCAUCUUCUUGGUGAACAUUGCUGCACUUGACUGUGUGGAGCGCUACCCAGGACUUUUACUUUGAGGAAAUUAGAGUGUUUCAAGCAGGCAUACGCCUUGAAUACAUUAGCAUGGAAUAAUAAGAUAGGACCUCGGUUCUAUUUUGUUGGUUUCUAGAGCUGAGGUAAUGAUUAAUAGGGAUAGUUGGGGGCAUUCGUAUUUAACUGUCAGAGGUGAAAUACUUGGAUUUGUUAAAGACGGACUACUGCGAAAGCAUUUGCCAAGGAUGUUUUCAUUGA